GAUGAACGCUAGCGGCGGGCUUAAUACAUGCAAGUCGAGGGGUGGUAGCAAUACUACACCGGCGCACGGGUGCGUAACGCGUAUGCAAUCUACCUUUAUCUGGGGGAUAGCCCGGGGAAACCCGGUUUAAUACCGCAUAACAAAUUUUCUGGCAUCAGGAGCUUUUAAAAGAUUUAUCGGAUAGAGAUGAGCAUGCGUAAGAUUAGAUAGUUGGCGAGGUAACGGCUCACCAAGUCUACGAUCUUUAGGGGCUCUGAGAGGAGAAUCGCCCACCCUGUCACUCAGAUACGGACCAGACUCCUGCGGGAGGCAGCAGUAGGGAAUAUUGGGCACUGGGCGCAAGCCUUACGCAGCCACGCCGCGUGCAGGAAGAAGGCCCUCUGGGUUGUAAACUGCUUUUGACUGGGAAGAAAAGGCUCCUUGCGAGGAGAGUUGACGGUACCAGCAGAGUAAGCCACGGCUAACUACGUGCCAGCCGCCGCGGUAAUAC
rnacentral:rRNA from 1 species